CAAGCAAAAUAGUCAAGCCAUACCUGGAGCACUGUGUUAACUGAAAAAGGGAAACAUGUCUACAAGAGAUCCACCAAGAUGGGGAAAGCUUAAGAAGUCAUUUCAUCUGAGACAUUGAUCACGAAAACCAGUCUAUUCUGAUCAC